GCUGGUGUGGUGGAGUGAUUUGCGUGUUGGACUAUGAUUCAGGAGAUCAGAGUUCAAUUCUCUGCUCCCCUA